AGUGAACGCUGGCAGUAGGCCUAACACAUGCAAGUCGAACGGCAGCACAGUAAGAGCUUGCUCUUACGGGUGGCGAGAGGCGGACGGGUGAGGAAUACAUCGGAAUCUACUUUUUCGUGGGGGAUAACGUAGGGAAACUUACGCUAAUACCGCAUACGACCUACGGGUGAAAGCAGGGGAUCUUCGGACCUUGCGCGAUUGAAUGAGCCGAUGUCGGAUUAGCUAGUUGGCGGGGUAAAGGCCCACCAAGGCGACGAUCCGUAGCUGGUCUGAGAGGAUGAUCAGCCACACUGGAACUGAGACACGGUCCAGACUCCUACGGGAGGCAGCAGUGGGGAAUAUUGGACAAUGGGCGCAAGCCUGAUCCAGCCAUACCGCGUGGGUGAAGAAGGCCUUCGGGUUGUAAAGCCCUUUUGUUGGGAAUGAAAAGCAGCAGGUUAAUACCCCGCUGUUCUGACGGUACCCAAAGAAUAAGCACCGGCUAACUUCGUG
rnacentral:rRNA from 1 species